GGACUACCAGGGUAUCUAAUCCUGUUUGCUCCCCUUGCUCUCGCGCCUCAGCGUCUGGUUAUAGCUAGAAAGCCGCUUUCGCCACAGGUGUUCUUCCACAUAUCUACGCAUUUCACCGCUACACGUGGAAUUCCACUUCCUCCGCCAUACCUCAAGAUAGUCAGUUUCAAAUGCAGCUCCGAAGUUGAGCCUCGGAAUUUCACAUCUGACUUGUCUACCCGCCUACGCGCCCUUUACGCCCAAUUAUUCCGAUUAAUGCUUGCACCCUCCGUAUUACCGCGGCUGCUGGCAC
rnacentral:rRNA from 1 species